UUCAUAAUGGCUGUUGCUAGCAUAAUUAGUCAAAUAAUGGAGGAGGUGAUUUGUACACAAACUGUACUUUCUACUGCACGACUGAGAAAAUGUUAAAUGUUGAUAUUUCUU